rnacentral:rRNA from 1 species
CCUACGGGAGGCUGCAGUGAGGAAUAUUGGUCAAUGGACGAGAGUCUGAACCAGCCAAGUAGCGUGACGGAUGACUGCCCUAUGGGUUGUAAACUUCUUUUAUAAAGGAAUAAAACGAGGCACGUGUGCCUUUUUGCAUGUACUUUAUGAAUAAGGAUCGGCUAACUCCGUGCCAGCAGCCGCGGUAAUACGGAGGAUCCGAGCGUUAUCCGGAUUUCUUGGGUUUAAAGGGAGCGUAGAUGGGUUGUUAAGUCAGUUGUGAAAGUUUGCGGCUCAACCGUAAAAUUGCAAUUGAUACUGGCAGUCUUGAGUACAGUUGAGGUAGGCGGAAUUCGUGGUGUAGCGGUGAAAUGCUUAGAUAUCACGAAGAACCCCGAUUGCGAAGGCAGCUUACUAAACUGUGACUGACAUUGAUGCUCGAAAGUGUGGGUAUCAAACAGGAUUAGAUACCCUAGUAGUC